rnacentral:rRNA from 1 species
GGCCUGCCCACUGAUUUAAGUUAAAGGGCCGCGGUAUUCUGACCGUGCGAAGGUAGCAUAAUCAUUAGUCUUUUAAUUGAAGGCUUGUAUGAAUGGUUGGACAAAAAAUAAGCUGUCUCGGUUAUAUAAAUUGAAUUUAACUUUUAAGUGAAAAGGCUUAAAUAUUCUGGAGUGACGAUAAGACCCUAUAAAGCUUUACAAUUAUUUGGUUGAAUUAUAAAUUAUUAGUAUUAACUUAAUUCAAUUAAUAUUUGUUUCGUUGGGGCGACGGGAAUAUAAUUUUAGUAACUGUUCUUUUAUAAUUAAUUACUUUUAUUAUUAGGAAAAUAAUUGAUCCUUUAUUAAAGAUUAAAAGAUUAAGUUACUUUAGGGAUAACAGCGUAAUCUUCUUUGAGAGUCCAUAUCGACAAGAAGGGUUGCGACCUCGAUGUUGAAUUAAGGUAUCCUUGUGGUGUAGCAGUUGCAAAG